GAACGGUACGGGACAGCGGGGGGGGGAAUACGGGUGGGGAAAGCGGUGUCCGGAAGCAUUGGGCGUAAAGGGCGUGUAGGCGGCUCGAUAAGGCUGCUGUGAAAGUCCAGGGCUCAACCCUGGAAGGCCGGUGGAAACUGUCGGGCUAGAGUCCGGAAGAGGCGAGUGGAAUUCCCGGUGUAGCGGUGAAAUGCGCAGAUAUCGGGAGGAACACCAAUGGCGAAGGCAGCUCGCUGGGACGGUACUGACGCUGAGACGCGAAAGCGUGGGGAGCAAACAGGAUUAGAUACCCUAGUAGUC
rnacentral:rRNA from 1 species